GGAGGAAGAGCAGGAAGAAAAGAUUAACAUUAAACAGAUACAUGAGGUGGGAUGGAAAGGGAGAGAAAAGGGAAAUUGCAUGGUAAUGGAGGGAGACCCUCCAUUACCAUGCAAUUUCCCUUUUCUCUCCCUUUCCAUCCCACCUCAUGUAUCUGUUUAAUGUUAAUCUUUUCUUCCUGCUCUUCCUCCC
rnacentral:snoRNA from 1 species